rnacentral:rRNA from 1 species
GAUGAACGCUGGCGGCGUGCUUAACACAUGCAAGUCGAACGGAAAGGCUCCUGCUUGCAGGGGUACUCGAGUGGCGAACGGGUGAGUAACACGUGGGUGAUCUGCCCUGCACUUCGGGAUAAGCCUGGGAAACUGGGUCUAAUACCGGAUAGGACCACAUUUUGGAUGGUGUGGUGGAAAGUUUUUCGGUGUGGGAUGAGCUCGCGGCCUAUCAGCUUGUUGGUGGGGUAAUGGCCUACCAAGGCGUCGACGGGUAGCCGGCCUGAGAGGGUGUACGGCCACAUUGGGACUGAGAUACGGCCCAGACUCCUACGGGAGGCAGCAGUGGUGAAUAUUGCACAAUGGGCGCAAGCCUGAUGCAGCGACGCCGCGUGGGGGAUGACGGCCUUCGGGUUGUAAACUCCUUUCGCUAGGGACGAAGCGCAAGUGACGGUACCUGGAGAAGAAGCACCGGCUAACUACGUG